AGGGCUAUCGCCAAGGGGUAAGGCACAAGAUUUUGAUUCUUGCAUUCGCUGGUUCAAAUCCAGCUAGCCCUG
rnacentral:tRNA from 1 species